CUCAUAAUCUCUUUUUUUGAAGUCAACAUUAUAAACGUCUUAAUGUAAAAUAAUUAACGCCCCCGCAAGCGAGGGCUUGGCUGAUCUUAAUGAGGCCAGGUGCGACGCGGGGGCAACAGCCCGGCCUCAGCGAGGUCCCCUCGGGAGGUGCCUUCCGCGUCACGGAGUGCCGUGACCGGGGGUAACCCUGGCCGGGCACAGGCCCACCUGGGUUAGCCCGCCUGAGAAUGCAUACAUGCUACGAUGAGGGCGGGUGUUACGGGUGGGCCACAUAUAA
rnacentral:snoRNA from 10 species